UACGAAGGGGGCUAGCGUUGCUCGGAAUCCCUGGGCGUAAAGCGCCCGUAGGCGGCUUUCUAAGUCAGGGGUGAAAUCCUGGAGCUCAACUCCAGAACUGCCUUUGAUACUGGGAAGCUUGAGUCCGGAAGAGGUGAGUGGAACUCCGAGUGUAGAGGUGAAAUUCGUAGAUAUUCGGAAGAACACCAGUGGCGAAGGCGGCUCACUGGUCCGGUACUGACGCUGAGGUGCGAAAGCGUGGGGAGCAAACAGG
rnacentral:rRNA from 1 species